UACGGGGGGGGCAAGCGUUGUUCGGAAUUACUGGGCGUAAAGGGCGCGUAGGCGGUGCUCUAAGUUAGAUGUGAAAACUCUGGGCUCAACCCAGAGCCUGCAUCUAAAACUGGAGUGCUAGAGUUCUGGAGGGGGUAGCGGAAUUCCUGGUGUAGCGGUGAAAUGCGUAGAUAUCAGGAGGAACACCGGUGGCGAAGGCGGCUACCUGGACAGAAACUGACGCUGAGGCGCGAAAGCAUGGGGAGCGAACAGG
rnacentral:rRNA from 1 species